UCCCUGGUGGUCCAGUGGUUAGGACUUCGGCACUUUUACUGCUGAGGGCCCGAGUUCAAUCCCUGGUCAGGGAG
rnacentral:tRNA from 1 species